rnacentral:rRNA from 1 species
GACGAACGCUGGCGGCGUGCCUAAUACAUGCAAGUAGAACGCUGAAGGAGGAGCUUGCUCUUCUGGAUGAGUUGCGAACGGGUGAGUAACGCGUAGGUAACCUGCCUGGUAGCGGGGGAUAACUAUUGGAAACGAUAGCUAAUACCGCAUAACAGUAGAUGUUGCAUGACAUUUGCUUAAAAGGUGCAAUUGCACCACUACCAGAUGGACCUGCGUUGUAUUAGCUAGUUGGUGGGGUAACGGCUCACCAAGGCGACGAUACAUAGCCGACCUGAGAGGGUGAUAGGCCACACUGGGACGGAGACACGGCCCAGACUCCUACGGGAGGCAGCAGUAGGGGAUCUUCGGCAAUGGACGGAAGUCUGACCGAGCAACGCCGCGUGAGUGAAGAAGGUUUUCGGAUCGUAAAGCUCUGUUGUAAGAGAAGAACGAGGGUGAGAGUGGAAAGUUCACACUGUGACGGUAUCUUACCAGAAAGGGACGGCUAACUACGUG